rnacentral:rRNA from 1 species
GGCAGGCUUAACACAUGCAAGUCGAGGGGCAUCGGGAGGAAAGCUUGCUUUCCUUGCCGGCGACCGGCGCACGGGUGAGUAACACGUAUGCAACCUGCCCUCUUCAGGGGGACAACCUUCCGAAAGGGAGGCUAAUCCCGCGUAUAUCGGUUUCGGGCAUCCGAGAUCGAGGAAAGAUUCAUCGGAAGAGGAUGGGCAUGCGGCGCAUUAGCUAGACGGCGGGGUAACGGCCCACCGUGGCGACGAUGCGUAGGGGUUCUGAGAGGAAGGUCCCCCACACUGGUACUGAGACACGGACCAGACUCCUACGGGAGGCAGCAGUGAGGAAUAUUGGUCAAUGGGAGAGAUCCUGAACCAGCCAAGCCGCGUGAGGGAAGACGGCCCUAUGGGUUGUAAACCUCUUUUGUCGGAGAACAAAACCCGGGACGAGUCCCGGACUGCGUGUAUCCGAAGAAAAAGCAUCGGCUAACUCCGUGCCAGCAGCCGCGGUAAUACGGAGGAUGCGAGCGUUAUCCGGAUUUAUUGGGUUUAAAGGGUGCGUAGGCGGUCCGUUAAGUCAGCGGUAAAAUUGCGGGGCUCAACCCCGUCGAGCCGUUGAAACUGGCAGACUUGAGUUGGCGAGAAGUACGCGGAAUGCGCGGUGUAGCGGUGAAAUGCAUAGAUAUCGCGCAGAACUCCGAUUGCGAAGGCAGCGUACCGGCGCCAGACUGACGCUGAGGCACGAAAGCGUGGGGAUCGAACAGGAUUAGAUACCCUGGUAGUCCACGCAGUAAACGAUGAAUGCUGGUUGUCCGGGUCGAAUGAGAUCUGGGCGGCGAAGCGAAAGCGAUAAGCAUUCCACCUGGGGAGUACGCCGGCAACGGUGAAACUCAAAGGAAUUGACGGGGGCCCGCACAAGCGGAGGAACAUGUGGUUUAAUUCGAUGAUACGCGAGGAACCUUACCCGGGCUCAAACGGGAGCGGAAUGGACCAGAGACGGUUCAGCCUACGGGCCGCUUCCGAGGUGCUGCAUGGUUGUCGUCAGCUCGUGCCGUGAGGUGUCGGCUUAAGUGCCAUAACGAGCGCAACCCCCGCCGGCAGUUGCUAACGGGCAAUGCCGAGGACUCUGCCGGGACUGCCGCCGCAAGGCGUGAGGAAGGCGGGGAUGACGUCAAAUCAGCACGGCCCUUACGUCCGGGGCGACACACGUGUUACAAUGGGCGGUACAGCGGGAAGCCAGGCGGCGACGCCGAGCGGAACCCGAAAGCCGUUCUCAGUUCGGAUCGGAGUCUGCAACCCGACUCCGUGAAGCUGGAUUCGCUAGUAAUCGCGCAUCAGCCAUGGCGCGGUGAAUACGUUCCCGGGCCUUGUACACACCGCCCGUCAAGCCAUGGGAGCCGGGGGUGCUUGAAGUGCGUCGCCGCGAGGCGCGCCCUAGAGCAAAACC